CCUACGGGUGGCAGCAGUGAGGAAUAUUGGUCAAUGGACGAGAGUCUGAACCAGCCAAGUAGCGUGAAGGAUGACUGCCCUAUGGGUUGUAAACUUCUUUUAUAUGGGAAUAAAAUGUUCCACGUGUGGGAUUUUGUAUGUACCAUAUGAAUAAGGAUCGGCUAACUCCGUGCCAGCAGCCGUGGUAAUACGGAGGAUCCGAGCGUUAUCCGGAUUUAUUGGGUUUAAAGGGAGCGUAGGUGGAUUGUUAAGUCAGUUGUGAAAGUUUGCGGCUCAACCGGAAAAUUGCAGUUAAAACUGGCAGUCUUGAGUACAGUAGAGGUGGGCGGAAUUCGUGGUGUAGCGGUGAAAUGCUUAGAUAUCACGAAGAACUCCGAUUGCGAAGGCAGUUCACUGGACUGCAACUGACACUGAGGCUCGAAAGUGUGGGUAUCAAACAGGAUUAGAUACCCGAGUAGUC
rnacentral:rRNA from 1 species